rnacentral:lncRNA from 1 species
UGGUACUUGUGAAUAUAUCAGGUAUGUCCAGGAAGAUAAAAAUUAUCAACAACACAUACUAAAUUGUUGGCUCAUAGGUUGCGACGAGCAUAUUUUACUGCUUUAUUAAACACUUUUAUCUUAUUUUGAUUAUCUAUUUAUUAUCUACAUAAAAAGGUGUCUUUUUAAAAUAAUAUUCAAAGACACUGAUCGAUUGACAGUAUCAUCAGGUCUUUGGAUUAUUUGGGUCUUGUGCUGGUGGUUCAUAAUUACGUACAACUUCAACGAUGGUGUGAAUAAAAUUGAUGGAUUGGUUACU